rnacentral:rRNA from 1 species
UAAUACGUAGGGUGCGAGCGUUAAUCGGAAUUACUGGGCGUAAAGCGUGCGCAGGCGGUUGUGUAAGACAGGUGUGAAAUCCCCGGGCUUAACCUGGGAACUGCGCUUGUGACUGCACAGCUAGAGUAUGGCAGAGGGGGGUGGAAUUCCACGUGUAGCAGUGAAAUGCGUAGAGAUGUGGAGGAACACCGAUGGCGAAGGCAGCCCCCUGGGCCAAUACUGACGCUCAUGCACGAAAGCGUGGGGAGCAAACAGGAUUAGAUACCCUGGUAGUCCACGCCCUAAACGAUGUCGACUAGGUGUUCGGUGAGGAGACUCAUUGAGUACCGCAGCUAACGCGUGAAGUCGACCGCCUGGGGAGUACGGUCGCAAGAUUA